CUCUCUCUCUGUCACUCUUCUUCUCCGUUCGAACAAACCAACCACAAAACAACCUUAAACUUCCACCAACGACGGAGUUAAGACCACACACCAUCGAACGAACUCCUGGAGACUCCACGAUCACGUAGACACCAAUUUCAGGACAAUCCAAGCUCACAGUGAGCUUAGUGAGGUUCCAAGGAAGCUCGGAGUGCUUCGUUGGAAGUUUUUGGACGUAAGAACACGGAGAUCGAUAAGUUCAAAGUUUGGCCGGAGCUUUCGAGGCAUUUUCCGACGAAUCCCCGGCGAGUUAGGCGUCGAGUUUCCGGCGACCUCCGAGGCUUUCGAGGCAGUUUACGGCCAAACUACGGCGAACUAGGUGUUGGGAAAGUUUUGGAAAUUGACGGAGAUCCGACCGUUGGAUGGCGCCGAUCGUCAUGACGCCUUGGCGUAUUGUGCUAGGGAGUUGUAGGGCGAACUCCAGGUUCAGGAAUCACAAAGGUGUGGUGACUACGAGGAAUUCGACGGUGUUCUGACAGAUUGGCCAAAAUUAGGACUCACCUUCGGGUGUAUCAAUUUAAAUUGUAUCUUAAAGCUUCCGUACUGUGCAAAUGGUUACGUCACUCUCACGUGACGGCCAGCAUGCCCUCCUUCGGGACGGGGUGUGUCAAUAGAUGCAAUAACAAAUUGCCAAAAUUUAUAUUGACCUGCUUUCAAAUAUAGACAUAUAUAAACUUAGC
rnacentral:sRNA from 1 species